rnacentral:lncRNA from 1 species
GUCAUUCGGUUCUUUCACAACUUGGAUCUUACGCACGGGAUGAUCACCCAUCUAAAAUUUCUUUUCUAUUUCGGUUCUAAAUUCAAUUCUUACGGCUGUACUUUUCAGUAGAAAUAGCAUUCGGUUCUAUUUACAACUUGAAUCCUGUGCAUCGGAUGAUCAUCCAUCUAUAUCUCUUUUUCAUUACUUUUCUAAUUUCAAUUUUUACUGUUGAACUUUUCGGUACGUAAAAACAGUAUAAUAUUCGAUUCUUUCACAACUUAAAUCCCACGUAAUAGAUGAUCACCUAUCUAAAAUUUCUAUUCUAUUUCGUCUCUGAAUUCAAUUCCUACAGUUGAACUUUUAAGUAGAAAUAGCAUCUAGCUUUUUCACAACUCGAAUCUUGCACAGAGUAAU